rnacentral:rRNA from 1 species
AGAGUUUGAUCCUGGCUCAGAAUCAACGCUGGCGGCGUGCCUAACACAUGCAAGUCGCACGAGAAAGGGGCUUCGGCUCUGAGUAAAGUGGCGCACGGGUGAGUAACACGUGAAUCAUCUACCUCCGAAUGGGGAAUAACUGAGAGAAAUCUUAGCUAAUACCGCAUAAUACCUACGGGUCAAAGCAGCAAUGCGUUUGGAGAGGAGUUCGCGGUCGAUUAGUUAGUUGGCGGGGUAAUGGCCCACCAAGACGAUGAUCGAUAUCCGGCCUGAGAGGGCGCACGGACACACUGGAACUGAAACACGGUCCAGACUCCUACGGGAGGCAGCAGUGGGGAAUUUUGCGCAAUGGGGGAAACCCUGACGCAGCAACGCCGCGUGGAGGAUGAAAUAUCUUGGUAUGUAAA